rnacentral:rRNA from 1 species
GGCUCAGGAUGAACGCUGGCGGCGUGCUUAACACAUGCAAGUCGAACGAUGAAGCCCACUUGUGGGUGGAUUAGUGGCGAACGGGUGAGUAACACGUGAGUAACCUGCCCUUAACUCUGGGAUAAGCCUGGGAAACUGGGUCUAAUACCGGAUAUGACUCCUCAUCGCAUGGUGGGGGGUGGAAAGCUUUUUGUGGUUUUGGAUGGACUCGCGGCCUAUCAGCUUGUUGGUGAGGUAAUGGCUUACCAAGGCGACGACGGGUAGCCGGCCUGAGAGGGUGACCGGCCACACUGGGACUGAGACACGGCCCAGACUCCUACGGGAGGCAGCAGUGGGGAAUAUUGCACAAUGGGCGCAAGCCUGAUGCAGCGACGCCGCGUGAGGGAUGACGGCCUUCGGGUUGUAAACCUCUUUCAGUAG